GAUGAACGCUGGCGGCGUGCUUAAUACAUGCAAGUCGAGCGAACAGACGAGGAGCUUGCUCCUCUGACGUUAGGCGCGCACGGGUGAGUAACAUGUGGAUAAUCUACCUAUAAGACUGGGAUAACUUCGGGAAACCGGAGCUAAUACCGGAUAAUAUAUUGAACCGCAUGGUUCAAUAGUGAAAGACGGUUUUGCUGUCACUUCUAGAUGGAUCUGCGCCGCAUUAGCUAGUUGGUAGGGUAAAGGCUUUCGAAGGCUACGAUGCGUAGCCGACCUGAGAGAGUGGUCGGCGACACUAGAGCUGGAACACGGUCCAUACGCCUACGGGAGGCAGCAGUAGGGAAUCUUCCGCAAUAGGCGAGAGCCUUGCGGAGCAACGGCACGUGAGAUGUAGAAGUCUUCGGUGCGUAAUGCUGUGUUAUUAGGGAUAAACAAAUGUGUAAGUAACUAUACACGUCUUGACGGUACCUGAUCAGAAAGCCACGGCUAACUACGUG
rnacentral:rRNA from 1 species